UCCGGCUCAACAUUCUUGGAAAACAAUCGAAUCGAGGGUUCAGAGGAGAAUUGGCCAUUCAAUCUUGUAAACUAAUCGAGACCAAAAUUGGAAAAAGAGAUACAAACAGAAAGAAAUAACCAAUCAAUAAAAGAACAUGAAACCAUUCUGUUUCAAUAGAGGUACAAAAAACGGUUAGGGGCAAUAAAGUAGGUAAAGUGGUUAAAUUUUGCAAGCUGUUCCAACCACUGCUGGAUGUGAUUCCAAGAGCCGAACAAGAAUGAAUACCACACAGAAGAGUCAAGACCAGGCUCCCUAAUGGAAUGUUUAACCAAUCCAUUCCGGAUCGACCGAAUUGGUACAGAAGUUGUAACAUGGGAAAACCACAGAAAACACAACUUAUUUGAAUAACCCAGUGACCUACCAAUUGUAGAAGUAGGAUCUUUGGCAAGCAAUAAGCACUUAAAUAAUACAAUUCGAG
rnacentral:misc_RNA from 1 species